rnacentral:lncRNA from 1 species
AAGAAAGCAAUCAAACCCAUACUUCCAUAUUCCGACAUGCCGGUGCCCUUCGGACUUGUCCUAAGGCAUAGAUAUAUCUAACAUUUGUGGAUUUCUCCACCAUAAUCAUAACAUUUGUGGAUUUCUCCACCAUUAACAUACUUUGGUUUUUCAUGCAUAACUUAAGCAUAAAUAUUACCAUGAAAAUCAUACCACAUAAGCAUAGAAGGUAUCUUACCGUAAAACUUGAUGAUCUUUGUUUGAAAUGAAUUGAAAGUGCUAAACUUUCUUCCUUCUUCUUUCCUUUCUUGAUUUCGGUUUU